rnacentral:ncRNA from 1 species
GGUGAAAUUCGUGGACCGUAGUGAGACGCCCAAUAGCGAAAGCAUUUGCCAAGAAUGUCUUCAUUAAUCAAGAACGAAAGUCAGAGGUUCGAAGGCGAUUAGAUACCGCCCUAGUUCUGACCGUAAACGAUGCCAUCUCGCGAUUCGGAGGGUUCAUGCCCUACCGAGGAGCUACCCGGAAACGAAAGUCUUUCGGUUCCGGGGGUAGUAUGGUUGCAAAGCUGAAACUUAAAGAAAUUAGACGGAAGGGCACCACAAGGCGUGGAGCUUGCGGCUUAAUUUGACUCAACACGGGAAAACUCACCCGGUCCGGACACUAUUAGGACUGACAGAUUGAAAGCUCUUUCUCGAUUUGGUGGUUGGUGGUGCAUGGCCGUUCUUAGUUGGUGGAGUGAUUUGUCUGGUUUAUUCCGAUAACGAGCGAGACUCUAGCCUGCUAAAUAGUCGACGAAUCUUCGGGUUCGUAUAACUUCUUAGAGGGAUAAGCGGUGUUUAGCCGCACGAGAUUGAGCGAUAACAGGUCUGUGAUGCCCUUAGAUGUCCGGGGCUGCACGCGUGCUACACUGGUGGAGUCAGCGGGUUUUUCCUAUGCCGAAAGGUAUCGGUAAACCGUUGAACUUCUUCCAUGUCCGGGAUAGGGUAUUGUAAUUAUUACCCUUAAACGAGGAAUGCCUAGUAAGUGUGAGUCAUCAGCUCACGUUGAUUACGUCCCUGCCCUUUGUACACACCGCCCGUCGCUAUCCGGGACUGAACUGAUUCGAGAAGAGUGGGGACUGUGGCUGCGAGGUUUUACCACUUCGCAGUUGCGGAAACCAUUUUUAUCGCAUUGGUUUGAACCGGGUAAAAGUCGUAACAAGGUAGCUGUAGGUGAACCUGCAGCUGGAUCAUCG